UGGCUUAGACGGUAAAGCAUCUGCCUGCAAUGCGGGAGACCCAGGUUUGAUUCCUGG
rnacentral:tRNA from 1 species